AGCUUCUAUAGGUUCUGAGAGAAAAGUCUAAAUUUUCUGGAUCCAAACAAUAUAUUACUACAGGUUUGGAUAGCAAGUCUUGAUUCACAGAAGAGGUUUCCAGCUGAAAUGUGCAGUCCUAAGGAGAAACUAGUCCUAAGGCACUGGAAGGUUGCUAUGAGGUCUCCACCAAACCUUCUCUUCUCCAGGCUGAGCCCCAACUGUCUCAGCCCAUCUUCUCUGCAAAGCUGCUCUAAUCCUCUUAUCAACUUCAUUGCCUCUCCUGGACUUGCUCCAACUCUUCCAUGCCCUUCUUACGCUGGGGACACCAGAACUGUAUGUGUAUUCAUAAAGCUGUUAUUCAGCCUUACAACAGCUUGUCAUAUAUUUCUGGCCACUCUACUGCUGCAUGGAU